rnacentral:rRNA from 1 species
AGCAUAUCAAUAAGCGGAGGAAAAGAAACCAACAGGGAUUGCUCUAGUAACGGCGAGUGAAGCAGCAAUAGCUCAAAUUUGAAAUCUGGCGUCUUCGACGUCCGAGUUGUAAUUUGUAGAGGAUGCUUCUGAGUGGCCACCGACCUAAGUUCCUUGGAACAGGACGUCAUAGAGGGUGAGAAUCCCGUAUGCGGUCGGAAAGGCGCUCUAUACGUAGCUCCUUCGACGAGUCGAGUUGUUUGGGAAUGCAGCUCUAAAUGGGAGGUAAAUUUCUUCUAAAGCUAAAUAUUGGCCAGAGACCGAUAGCGCACAAGUAGAGUGAUCGAAAGAUGAAAAGCACUUUGGAAAGAGAGUUAAAAAGCACGUGAAAUUGUUAAAAGGGAAGGGAUUGCAACCAGACUUGCUCGCGGUGUUCCGCCGGUCUUCUGACCGGUCUACUCGCCGCGUUGCAGGCCAGCAUCGUCUGGUGCCGCUGGAUAAGACUUGAGGAAUGUAGCUCCCUCGGGAGUGUUAUAGCCUCUUGUGAUGCAGCGAGCGCCGGGCGAGGUCCGCGCUUCGGCUAGGAUGCUGGCGUAAUGGUCGUAAUCCGCCCGUCUUGAAACACGGACCAAGGAGUCUAACAUCUAUGCGAGUGUUCGGGUGUCAAACCCCUACGCGUAAUGAAAGUGAACGGAGGUGAGAACCGCAAGGUGCAUCAUCGACCGAUCCUGAUGUCUUCGGAUGGAUUUGAGUAAGAGCAUAGCUGUUGGGACCCGAAAGAUGGUGAACUAUGCCUGAAUAGGGUGAAGCCAGAGGAAACUCUGGUGGAGGCUCGCAGCGGUUCUGACGUGCAAAUCGAUCGUCAAAUUUGGGUAUAGGGGCGAAAGACUAAUCGAACCAUCUAGUAGCUGGUUCCUGCGA